CGGGUCGGUCAGGCAGCCGCUGGCGGUGCAAGCCGCUGGAGGAAAGUCCGGGCUCCAUAGGGCGAAGUGCCAGGUAACGCCUGGGAGGCGCGAGCCUACGGAAAGUGCAGCAGAAAGCAAACCGCCUAAGCGCGCAAGCGCCGGUAAGGGUGAAAAGGUGCGGUAAGAGCGCACCGCGCCGCUGGCAACAGCGGUGGCAGGGUAAACCCCACCCGGAGCAAGACCAAAUAGGGACCCAUGGGCGUGGCCCGCGCCGGGUCCGGGUAGGUCGCUUGAGGCCCGUGGCGACGCGGGUCCCAGAUGAAUGGCUGUCCACGACAGAACCCGGCUUAUCGACCGAUCCACCUU
rnacentral:RNase_P_RNA from 1 species